rnacentral:rRNA from 1 species
AGAGUUUGAUCAUGGCUCAGGAUGAACGCUGGCGGUAUGCCUUAUACAUGCAAGUCGUACGAGAGUUUUUAACUCUAGUGGCGGACGGGUGAGUAACACGUAAGAAUUUGCCUUUAGGAGGGGGACAACAACUGGAAACGGUUGCUAAUACCCCAUAUGCUUUCGAGUGAAAUGGAUUUCCGCCUAAAGAGAAGCUUGCGGCUGAUUAGCUUGUUGGUAGGGUAAUGGCCUACCAAGGCGACGAUCAGUAUCUGGUUUGAGAGGACGAUCAGACACACUGGAACUGAGACACGGUCCAGACUCCUACGGGAGGCAGCAGUAGGGAAUUUUCCGCAAUGGGCGAAAGCCUGACGGAGCAAUACCGCGUGAGGGAUGACUGCCUAUGGGUUGUAAACCUCUUUUUUCAGGGAGGAAUAAAUGACGUGUACCUGAAGAAUAAGCAUCGGCUAACUCCGUGCCAGCAGCCGCGGUAAGACGGAGGAUGCAAGUGUUAUCCGGAAUCACUGGGCGUAAAGCGUCUGUAGGUGGCUCGACAAGUCAACUGUUAAAUCUUGAAGCUCAACUUCGAAAUCGCAGUCGAAACUAUCGAACUAGAGUAUAGUAGAGGUAAAGGGAAUUUCCAGUGGAGCGGUGAAAUGCGUAGAGAUUGGAAAGAACACCGAUGGCGAAGGCACUUUACUGGGCUAUUACUGACACUCAGAGACGAAAGCUAGGGUAGCAAAUGGGAUUAGAUACCCCAGUAGUCCUAGCCGUAAACAAUGGAUACUAGGUGUUGAACAGAUCGACCUGUGCAGUACCAAAGCUAACGCGUUAAGUAUCCCGCCUGGGAAGUAUGCACGCAAGUGUGAAACUCA